AAGCAUUCAAAAUCAUUUAUUUAUAGCACAGAACACAAAGCGUCAAAGAGACUACAGGCAAGCCACAGCCACAGCACCCUUCAUGAGGGCAGCCGGGAGCCUCUCCCACCCUGCCGAGCCGGCUCAAUAGAAUGCUUCCAGAUGUGGUCUGCCCAUGGUGAGCCUGCAGAGAAGAGGGAGAUAUGUAUGCUCCCUUCCUGCCCAUGAUAGAAAAGCCUGUCACCAGCCCUGAUAGAACACCGAGCACCAGACAACCUCUAAAUCCCCUGCCAGCCUGAGAUUCCAGAAUGGUCUAGCACUGGAGACCUUAGAAGUUGGGGGAAAAGAUCAAAAAGUGUGUUGCAUAAACAAUUAUUUCUGAGGAACAAAAGGGAUGAGAAAUCAGAGAAUUUCAGACUUUUAGAACGGAAUUGCUUCUGCAAGAAUUUCAACAAUAAAAGUACUUUU
rnacentral:lncRNA from 1 species